UCGAGCUUCAAAGCAACAGCCAAUCAGGCCUUUGCUGAAUUUAUACCUGUUUCUAAUGGAGAUGAAUUUCAGACAAUGUUUAUCUGCUGUAUAGUUUUUUUUUAAAGGACUGACACUACUUUUGUCCUCUACUUGUCCAGUUUUCUCAAAAUUUGUAAGGACGUGUACGCAAUGAUGAGUUUUCACCUAACAUCUCCUUGAGAAUCACGUUGUUGGUGCAAAAACAGCAUUUUAGGUCAAACUGUGUCAUCUUUACCAAUUUUCAUAGACUAAAAAAAAGAAACGAGAAUAAAUUGUGUGUUUUUGCAACAUUUGGCUACAAUGUUGCAAAAACACACAAUUUGUUCCCAGUGGCUCAAGAUGUAGGGAGGGCGGUUUGAAUCCAGAAAGAAAGUGCUUUGAGGGCUCAAAUAGGGGAGAAAGGGGCUCAGGAAGUACCAGCCCAUGCAAGACUGUAGGUUGUAUUUCAACGGUUCAUUUCCACAGCAGCCAAUAAAGGGAAGUGAAUUCUGAGCGCUCACUGACGCAGCUCUGACACAAACCACAGAGCUGUAGAGGCUUCAAUGCUCGUCUGCUUGUCUAACGCGAUCUUUAGCACUUUAUCAUUAUAAUGAAGGUAAUAUAAGUCAAAAGGUCUAAAUAUAGUGCCAGGAUCACGUUAAAGGAGUACCUGUAGAAACUCGGCUUAGCUUUGGACUUAAAUUUGGACUUUUUUGUUUUGUCGUGGUUGUUCUGGACGUUGAUGAGUGCUGUGGGAAGUUACGUCCGUCUCCAGAUUCUUCGACGAUUGAUGUUUGUUUUUGUGUUUAAUCGGUCACAAAGGAGCUGUGUGUGUUUUUCAAGGCAGCUACAAGCUGUUUGGAGUGAACAUGGAGCGGAGACAGAGACGGAGAGGAAUAAGGAGCUUGUGUUUGAGGUCUGGAUACAACUACACGAAAUCUGCAAAUAUGGUGACUGUGCUCUCUCUAUGGGUGGACUUGCUGUCUGCACUGCGGGUAGUUGACCAGACCUAACUGACAUCAUAUUAAGCUGCCAUAAGUCCAUCACAAUAAUUUCUUUUAGAGGGUCUACAACACUCUGGAGGAAAUCUUUAAACCACCGAGCUCGCUUUGGAUUGUCAUCUGGACUGGAUGUGACUUAGACGGCGGAGAGAGCUGAAGCAGGAGCGGACAUGUCGAUCUGCUGUGCGGCCAGGCUAAACCUCCACCUCCUGGUAUUUUCCUCACAAACUCCACAUCCAUCACAAUGACAUCAAAUAUUUGGAUCUGCUGAUCGCUGAUCGGACAACUUCAUCCAGAAAUGCAGUGUGAAUAUUUAAAGAGAAAACUGUUGAACACGGAAAACACAGUGACUCUGAGAGUGAUCCACCUGUAAUCUACUCGGCAGUGAGAACUGAAGACAUCAGUUAUGGACAAAUAACUAUCAGACCAAAGAGGACCAGAGACUUUAAACCAGAGCCAGACGUCGUCUACUCUUCACUGAAGUAGUCCACCAGUCCAACCACUGACAUCCAGCUGCUGGUCUCUAACUGGUCCCCCAGCACCUCAGAUCAACGUGUUCAAAAGAUUUUUUUUUUUUCAUGUUUUAUGUAUUUUUAAUCUAUAUUUAACUUUUUUCAACAUAAACAGUCGGAAAAUACAUAUUAAAAUGUUUUCAUAUUUUCAAUAAUUUACAAUUUUAUUUUUUGUUUGUUUGUUCUUGUUCACACAGCACAGAUGUGGUUUCUAUGCAGGACUAAAAUAGUUUUGUUCUCGUUUGUUUUUUCUGUGGUUCUGUGGGUUUCACUAAAGUGUCAGAUGGAAAAUUUAUCUCUUCCAAUUUGAUUGUGGCUAACCAAUGUAUGCUUCUGUUUAACACAGAAAAAAAUCCAACAGAAUAAACAUUAACCUACAACACCAGCAGCUUUUUAGUGAGUACUGAAGCUGAACAGAAAAGCUUUAGUACUGACUGUAUGAAGAGUUGUAAUUUCUUUAUUUCCUUAAUGAGCUGGAAACCAACCAAAAGAUGUAGGGAUGGAAAAUUGUUUCAUUUUCAUUAAUUAAUUGUUUAAUAAGAAAAUUCUCUACUAGCAACUUAAAAAUGUGAAUAUUUACCUGUUUUGUUGUUUUUUUUUUCUUUUUUAAUGAUCUGAAACUUCUACAUUUUUUGUCUGCUACUCAAUCAAAAUAAAGUGAUUCAUAUUCAUUAUAUUAUAUUAUCUUGUACUGUAUUAAAUGAUAUAAGCACGGGGGAGAGUAACCCGGUUAUAUUAGUAGAUAGUAAUUGUUUGAUCGUGUAUUUAUUAAACAGCUGUUUUAUUUGCUGCUCCUUCUUCAGGGAAACAUUCAUUGUGUCUCCCUCAGUAGUUUAAGAUCAGAAUAGAAAGCUGAAUUUUUUUAGUGUCUGAUAAACUACAGAUGUGAACAUGUGACUCAGGCUACGUACACGGGUAUUUUUGAAAACGGACAUUUUCCGUUUUCAUUUUAAAAAAUAAUCCCGUCCACACGUAAACGCAGAAAUGAAGGAAAACGCUGCUAGGAACAUGCCAAAGCAGCAGGUGGCGCUAUAUUCCUAACCGUGUAGAAAUGUUGGCCAAUCAGAAGUCUAGAAGCCUGGGUGGGAAAUAGUAAACAAAGAUGGGGAGUAGAAGCAGAACGAGUCGUAUGUGUGGAGGGACAGUAACUGUGUGUGUAUAUGUAAGCAUUUAAACACUGCAGAGCGUACAAUUAACAGUAACAGUAUUGUAGAAAUUCAUUUCACCGAAACAAUAACGUGGCGCACAGUGUGACGUCAAAAAAGGCGCACACCUUUGACGCUGCGUUUUCUCCGUUUUUCUCGUCCACACGUAAACGCAAAAACGGAGUUUUCGAAAAUAUCCACCCUGGCAGGCGUUUUUAGAAAUCUCCCUUUUCAGUGACCGAAAACGCCGUUUACGUGUGGACGAAAGGUGCAAACACAUAGAAAAAUCUGCGUUUUCAAAAAUACCCGGGUACGUGUGGACGUAGCCUCACACUGGACUUCCUUCUGGAUCACAUCUCCUGAAUAAGCUCAGAGACAAUCUUGCAUUAAACCUCUCAGUCAAGCUUGAUGGACGAGUCUUGUUUAUAGUCUGUGUCUGUCUACAAUCUACUGGUGAAACUGGCUGUUACAUGAGAGUUGCUGCUUUUGUUAAGAUUUAACCUCUUAACGUCCACCAGUUUGGAUUAGUAGGUUAUAUUUUACUCACAUGCCAAGCAGCAGUUUCAGAAAUGCACUAAUAUAAAAACUGAAUUGGCCCGUCACAACUGGAAAAGUCAGUUUUCCUGUGAUGGGAAAACAUCAAGAUUAAUUUCAUUUCAUUAUCACCAGUGAUCAUUUGAAUUCUUAACUGAUUCAAGUAAUAAUAAUUUAAUUGUAUUUUUUUGGUUUUCAAGAUAUUGCUGUUGUUGUGUCAAUGUAUUGUGUUGUUGUUUGGGUUAUUGAAAGUCCCCAAGUGUGGGACUCCACAGUGCUGCCAGAGGAAGGAAACUACUAUUUUAUUAGGAAGAGUAUAACAUCGGCCUCCUGUUUCUUUUAAUAAACUAGUGAAAGCAUCAUCUGCUUGUAUUCACGUCGUAUUUAAACAAAACCACCUCCCUGUCCUGAUCUGAUAUAUAUCCUGUCCCUGCACAGUUGUGAGUGUAAUUUUCCCGUUUCAC
ensembl:lncRNA